rnacentral:rRNA from 1 species
GACAGAGGGUGCAAACGUUGUUCGGAAUUACUGGGCGUAAAGCGCGUGUAGGCGGCUAUGUAAGUCGGGCGUGAAAUCCCACGGCUCAACCGUGGAAGUGCACCCGAAACUGCGUAGCUAGAGUCCUGGAGAGGAAGGUGGAAUGCUUGGUGUAGAGGUGAAAUUCGUAGAUAUCAAGCGGAACACCGGUGGCGAAGGCGGCAUCCUGGACCGGCAUUGACGCUGAGGAGCGAAAGCCAGGGGAGCAAACGGG